CUUGCUUCUCUUGAGAGCGGCGGACGGGUGAGUAAUGCCUAGGAAUCUGCCUAGUGGUGGGGGAUAACGUUCGGAAACGGACGCUAAUACCGCAUACGUCCUACGGGAGAAAGCAGGGGAUCUUCGGACCUCGCGCCAUUAGAUGAGCCUAGGUCGGAUUAGCUAGUUGGUGAGGUAAUGGCUCACCAAGGCGACGAUCCGUAACUGGUCUGAGAGGAUGAUCAGUCACACUGGAACUGAGACACGGUCCAGACUCCUACGGGAGGCAGCAGUGGGGAAUAUUGGACAAUGGGCGAAAGCCUGAUCCAGCCAUGCCGCGUGUGUGAAGAAGGUCUUCGGAUUGUAAAGCACUUUAAGUUGGGAGGAAGGGUAGUAACCUAAUACGUUGCUACUUUGACGUUACCGACAGAAUAAGCACCGGCUAACUUCGUGCCAGCAGCCGCGGUAAUACGAAGGGUGCAAGCGUUAAUCGGAAUUACUGGGCGUAAAGCGCGCGUAGGUGGUUCAGUAAGUUGGAAGUGAAAUCCCCGGGCUCAACCUGGGAACUGCUUUCAAAACUGCUGAGCUAGAGUACGGUAGAGGGUGGUGGAAUUUCCUGUGUAGCGGUGAAAUGCGUAGAUAUAGGAAGGAACACCAGUGGCGAAGGCGACCACCUGGACUGAUACUGACACUGAGGUGCGAAAGCGUGGGGAGCAAACAGGAUUAGAUACCCUGGUAGUCCACGCCGUAAACGAUGUCAACUAGCCGUUGGAAUCCUUGAGAUUUUAGUGGCGCAGCUAACGCAUUAAGUUGACCGCCUG
rnacentral:rRNA from 1 species